ensembl:lncRNA
UUUUUUUAACUCAAUGAAUUUUAUUACAUUUAUGGUUGUACAACAAUCAUCAUCACAACCCAAUCUUACAGCAUUUCCGUCCCAAACCCUCAGCCCAUCUCCCCACCCCCCAACCUGUCUCCUUUGGAAACCAUAAGGUUUUCAAAGUCUGUGAGUCAGUAUCUGUUAUGCAAAGUUCAUUGUGUCCUUUUUUAGACUCCACAUAUAAGUGAUAGCAUAUGAUAUUGAUGUCUCACUGUCUGACUAACUUCACUUAACAUGAUCAUUUCUAGGUCCAUCCAUGUUGCUAAAAAUGCCAUUAUUUCUUUCCUUUUUGUGUCUGAGUAAUAUUCCAUCAUGUAUAUGUACCACAUCUUCUUUAUCCACUCCUCUGUUGGUAGACAUUUAGGUUGUUUCCAUGUCUUGGCUAUCAUAUAGAGUGCUGCAAAGAACACUGGAGCAUGUGUAUAUUUUUGAGUCAUGGUUUUCUCUGGAUAGAUGCCCAGGAGUGGGAUUCCUGGAUCAAAUGGUAAUUCUAUUUUUAGUCUUUUGAGGAAUCUCCAUACUGUUUUCCACAGUGGUUGCACCAAUUUAUUUUCCCACCAACAGUGUAAUAGGUUUUCUCCACACCCUCUCCAGCAUUUAUUGUUGGUAGACUUUUAGAUGAUGGUCAUUCUGGCUGGUGUAAGGUGGUACCUCAGUAGUUUUGAUUUGCAUUUCUCUAAUAAUGAAUGAUGUUGAACAUCUUUCCAUGUGUUUUUUUAUGAGAAUGCAGGUUCGAUUCCUGGCCUCACUCAGUGGGUUAAGGAUCCCACAUUGCCAUGAGCUACGGUAUAACUCGCAGAUGCAGCCUGGAUCCUGCAUUGCUGUGGCUCUCACGGCAAUGCCAGAUCAUUAACCCACUGAGCAAGGGCAGGGACCGAACCCAAAACCUCAUUGUUCCUAGUAGGAUUCGUUAACCACUGCGCCAUGACAGGAACUCCUCCAUGGCUUUCUUACACCACGUUAGGUCACCAGUGGCCUUGUAUGACCCUUAUUCUACCUAAGACCCCGGCAACAGCACCUCUACUACUUUCUAGUCAGCACUGAACUCUGCUGGCCUUCUCUUCUAGUAGUAUUAGCUUCAAAACCAUCAGCUCAGCAUAUUUUAACAAUCUGCUGUUGCUUCUACUCCCAGGCUGGAAGUAAAUAUAACAGAAUAAACUGCUCAGAAUUUUAAAUCUACACAAUGAGGUUUUUUUCCCACCCCUGUUCCCAGGAGGGUAGAACCACAAAUAAGGCUCCUUAAUCUCAAAUAGACCCUUAACACAGCUCAAUAAUUUUUAUGUGUCUUUUAUUACUUCCACAGGAAAUUAUAUACUUUCACUAUUUUCCAUCACCCUUCCUCUGUUCACCUUCAUCAGAUUACCUUGGGUCUGAGUUUGCAGAGAAACUAAUCUAUCCAAGGCCUUGACUCCAUCAUCCUAUCAAGAACCCGUCGUGGCUCAGUGGUUAAUGAAUCCGACUAGGAACCAUGAGGUUGCGGGUUCGAUCCCUGGCCUUGCUCAGUGGGUUAGGGACCCGGCAUUGCGUGAGCUGUGGUGUAGGUUGCAGACGCGGCUCGGAUCCCGUGUUGCUGUGGCUCUGGUGUAGGUCAGCAGCUACAGCUCCGAUUAGACCCCUAGCCUGGGAACCCCCAUAUGCCAUGCGAAGCGCCCCAAGAAAUGCAAAAAGAAAAAAAAAAAAGAACCAAUCCCUUCACCUGUGCCCCAAGGCCCCAAUUUUUCUUCCCCAAGACAGAACCUGAAUCCAAGUCCUUUCAUAAUCAAAAUGUAGACCAAUUUUCCAGCUUCACCUUCUGCCUCUCUUCCAGCUAUUUCCUACCUUCAGUGCCUGGAAUGCUGUCUAGACAUGGAGAGGAUGUGGAGCCUGAUGUGGUAGACUGGGAGCAGACAGAACCCAAGAGACAGUCCUGACCUGAAUAAAGUUGAAUUCUCAUUUCCAGGAAAGCUGUCACAAUGAGGACCCACCAACGAGGAGAAUGCAAACCAUAAAUUAUGGCAUGAAGCUGAAAAGUCAUGAGCCAAAGAGUCUAAUAAAUGGGGAGACCCAGCUCAGAGAGCACGAGCAGAUGGGCAAUAGAAAGGGGUCAAUAUGGAGGAAACAGACAUUGAGCAAGAGGUGAAUUAGGUCCAAGGUGAUGCUCUUCUCUUAGUCACUGCACAGCUGGCUCCUUUAGGUCCUUCCAAUCCCAUUAAGUGUCACCUACUGAAAGACCUUCCCCAACAGCCCCAUGUAGAAUUGCCAUUUAGUAACUCAUCGCAGUUCCAUGUUUUAAUAAUCUGCAAUGUACCAUAGGUAGUAGACAAUAUUUCUUUAAUUACUGGUUUAUUGUCCAUCUUUCCCCACUGGAAAAUAAGUUCCAUAAGAACAAAGAUCUUCUUGUUUAUUCUAUAUCCCCAGUGGCAAGAACAGUGCUUGGUAAAUAUUACACAAGUGAAUUAAAUCUCAGGGAUACUCUGCAUUUUUAUUUAAAGACCUCCAAGUGAUUUCUGACUUUACCCAGAAGGAAAAUCACUAGGGUAAUACACGUAUUGUUGUUCCUACUGCUGUUCUUCUGCUGGGGAGGUGGAAGGUAGUAAGAAGUGAUCUUGAAAGGAGUGGAACCUGGACAAAGGAAGCAUCAAUCUCUUUUCAGGCUGUUAAGCUUAAUGUUUUCAAGGCCUAUGAUUCACUCUCCUCAAUGUUCCAUAAGCUACUCUGUUCAGAUACCGUCUUUUUAAACAACUCUAAACACUAAAGACUAAAUAACUCUAAACAUUAUUUUGAAUUAUUUACUUUGCUUUCCCCAGUCUUGAACACUCUGUAGUAUGCAUUAGAUACUCAAUAAAUGUUUCUUGAAUUGCACAGCUUGGGGAUGUGCUCUAGCCCACUGGGCUUGCUGGUGCUCUCUGGUACAACAUACAUGUUAAUAUUAACCAUCACUAAUUUAAAACCCACAGGUGCCAGGUACUGUGCUAAGCCCUUACUUAUAGAAUCUUCAUUUAACCCUCAAAAGAAUAUUUUCAAGAGUGGUGUUUUCUUUCUCUCUCUCUCUCUUUUUUUUUCCAUACUUUUAGAAAUGAGGAGACUGUGACUAGAGGUUAGAUAUAUGGUAAGUUACAGAGUUAAAAUUUAUACCUAGGGUUUUGUUUUCUCUCCUGAACUGUCUUGCGCAAUCAAUAUAGUGUCUAUAAGCCAUGCAUCAGUAUUUUGAGUGUACGUUAUUUUUGUCCCAGUUCUUUAUUAACUAACAAUGGAAUCUAGGACAAGUUCUUAAAUAUCUCAGUUUAGGUCUCUUCACCUAUAGAGUCAGGAAUUAGAUGAAGUUAACUCCUUGGUCUCCUCCAGCCCUAAAAAUUACACGCAUCUGUGAGUUCAGACUUUCAAGCAUUUGAUUCUGCAACACCAUCUGCUUCUGCAUUUCUAUAUAUUUCAUGCUGUGAUCACACCAAAACAAUAUAAAAGAGGCUUUUUCAUGGGUUCUUCUCUUGCAACCACCUGACCUAAUUUGAAAUAUAAAAGUGAAAUGAGUGAAAUCAUCACCACAGUCACAAAAGAGAAAUUCCUUCCUCAAACAGUCUGUGUCUCUCUCAACGGAGUUAAUAUCAUUGGUUUAAUGACCUAUUAUAUAAAACAACUAAUGGCAGUCUUUCUGAGGAGAGUAAAGGAAGAAUGAAAUGUUAGGCUCUCUAAUGGUGGUACUCGCCCUCGUGCAUAUUUUGGCAGCGGUGGGGGAGAGCUGAGGAAUUAAACACUGGUCCCUAAUAUAUUUGAUAUUUAUGAAUUUUACUAAUUGUAGGGCUUACAAAUAUAGAGUGGAGGCGGGGAGGAAGAAGAACCUGGUUCAAAUCCCUUUUUGUAUUAAUGAAUUAGUACAGAGGAGUGGAUGGAGCCCUUGGUUUUUUCUUGAUGAAAACCUACUGCAAAUCAUUUAGCCUCUCUGUGUUUCAGUUUGCCAAUCUUCAAAACUAGUGGGAUCAAAUAAUGUCUUAGGUUGUUCCAAAUCUGUGAAUUAGCCCAACAUCUAUGAAAACCUGGCAGGAAAUCAUCUUUAAAAGGCAGUAGCAAGUUUGAAAACUUAUCUUCAUCCUGAAGCAAAGAAGAUCACUUCUGAGUAGAAGAAGGGCAUAGCCCCAAAUGAAGAGCUCAAAUUUAAGCCUAUUUUUUAAUAAGGCUACAGUAGCAAUGAAAGCUUUAAAAUUCUAAGUCUCACACAAAUAACUGAUUCCCAAGCUUCACCACUGAAGCCACACAGCAGUUUUGAUGUAUUUUCUCCACCGGGAGUGCAGAGAUGAAGAGGAAAGGAAACAGGAAAGAAAUCAGGACACUGAGGUCAGCACAGAGGCUGAUCCUCAGAAGUCUCAGAGGUGCAUUAGAAAGAGGAAAAUAGAAAAUGUAGGGUUCAGUCAGUUGGUACAUGUAUUACCUGGGUUGUAGGAUUUUCUUAUAAUGUGAUUGUCUUCUAGGCUAUGGUAACCAAGUCAGUGUUCUUUCCAACCAUUCUCAACAACAGGCAGAUUAUUCUGCCUGUCAGUCUUCAUCUUUUCAAACUAAAUAAUGUUCCUCUUGGCCUGUCAUCAUAGAUUCCAUCUGAGUGUGAAACUUGGGGCUUAAGGUUUCCUUUCUGACCAUCUUCUCUCCAGCAGGAUUAGGCAGCUCAUUUCCAGACUCUACUUUUUCCAUGCUUGAUAUUUACCACCUCCCAAUGUACUCA